rnacentral:lncRNA from 1 species
AGAUGAAGAGGAGAGGGAAUGUGAGCUUUACAUUAAAGACGAAAAUUGCAGAAAUAUGGGAUGUAUCUUCCAAAAUGUCAGCAUAGGGAUUGAAAAAGCUUACUUCCUGGUGAAUGGAUCUAGCAAAGAUUCCCUGAUCCAGUUCUAUGAUGAGUACAUUGACUUGUAUGAAAUUGGUAAGUAAUUGAACAUUUUAUUUUAUUACUGUUUUAUAAAAUAAGGAAGUGGGGAUUUUUUCUUGAAAAGCAUAUUAAAACAAAGUCUGUAGCUGUUGCAGGUUCUGCACUGCAGGGCAGACUUUGCUUCUAACAGCUGACAGAAUACAGCUCCAAAACUUGACUAAAACAAGCAGAGGCAACCUGAAAAAACUGCUGAGACAAAAGGUGUGGACAUAGUCAUUACAUAGAAUUACAAGUAAUGAAACACAAUGGCCAGAUUUUCAAGGCCACCUUUCUUAAGGGAUUGUUUUACCAUUCCUUAAUCUCACACCACUCUGCUAGCCACAAGAGCUAUACGUCCUAAAACCAGAGUGAGGCUUCAGCUUCCAUAUUAGGACAGCAUUAGUUAAAUAUGUGGGUACUUCUGUGAGUUAGGUGUGACUUUAAACCCCAAGAGAAAUCAGGUCACACUGAAUCAACUAUAUUAUAGACACUCCAAUUCGGAUGUCUUGAAUGCACCAUGAGUAAGACCACAUAUACAAAAACUUCCUUCCCUUUUCGUAUGGAAACUCACAUUGUCAAUGUGAGUUGGAAAACAGAUGUAGAAGAAAAUGGCACACUGCUGAUUGCACUACUGAAUUAUACAAAAUCUCUCAUACCUUUUCUUUACAUUAACUUAAUUAACUUCAGAUGUCCAAAAACUGCAGUGAUAUAUUCUCAAGUUUUUGAAAGGUGUUUUACUGCUGUUUACCAGAUAACUUUAGUUAGCACCAGCAGCACACAGUUGUACAUCAGCUGCCUUACCUUCACAUGCAUUGUGCUGUGAAAGCAUGAGUUGUAGCUGUUUACUGACCAUGCCUAUAUUAAUUAUUCUUUUUUUUCCCCCAGAAAUACUCACUGCUCCAUUAAAUGUCACUGCCCAUUGUACCAGAGAUCCAACGGGUUGCAUAAUUACAUGGCAUCCACCCCUUACAAGUCAUGUGGAAAACACAAAAUGUUUUCAGUAUGAAAUUAGCAUAAAAAAUAAGGAUGAGCCCAAAGAAGAGAAAAAGCUUCCUCGUGUAAGGAAUGACAGAUAUGAAUUCCAAAAUUACAAUGAGAAAAAAAGAUACACUCUGAAAAUCAGAGCACGUGGAAAAAACUGUCUUGUAAGCUCAAAUUGGGGGGAAUGGAGUGAACCCAUUGAGUUUGGUAAGACAAUGAAUUUUUUUUUUUUCCAUAUUACCUUGUUUGCUUCCCUUUCUUCCUCACAGUCACAGAAAUUAAUAAAAUUGUAA